rnacentral:rRNA from 1 species
UACGGAGGGAGCUAGCGUUGUUCGGAAAUACUGGGCGUAAAGCGCACGUAGGCGGCGCAGCAAGUCAGGGGUGAAAUCCCGGGGCUCAACCUCGGAACUGCCCUUGAAACUGCAGUGCUAGAAUCUUGGAGAGGCGAGUGGAAUUCCGAGUGUAGAGGUGAAAUUCGUAGAUAUUCGGAAGAGCACCAGUGGCGAAGGCGACUCGCUGGACAAGUAUUGACGCUGAGGUGCGAAAGCGUGGGGAGCAAACAGGG